AUGGAUGAUCAUCGCAGACUGCUGGAUUUCUCCCGGAGGCCCCAGAUAAUCUUACACCGAAUAGGUUUCAUAAAGACCAUGUGAGGAAGAAGUGGGGAAUGUCUUUAAGGAGAGACGGAUUCACUGCACUGAUGAAUCUCAGCUGCUGAAUCUCUCUUAAGCUCCUCCUCGGCUGGAAAACAUGAAUAAAACCUAUAUAGAUAUUAUGUAUAUACGCAUGUCCAUAUAAAUAUGUGUAGUUUAAUGCAUAUUAUUCAGCAUUAA